AGGAACGCGAAGAACCUUACCAGGUCUUGACAUCUUCUGCCAGGCUGAGAGAUCAGCUGUUCCCUUCGGGGACAGUAUGACAGGUGGUGCAUGGUUGUCGUCAGCUCGUGUCGUGAGAUGUUGGGUUAAGUCCCGCAACGAGCGCAACCCUUAUGAUCAGUUGCCAGCAUUCAGUUGGGCACUCUGGUCAGACUGCCGGUGACAAACCGGAGGAAGGCGGGGAUGACGUCAAAUCAUCAUGCCCCUUAUGACCUGGGCUACACACGUGCUACAAUGGGUGGUACAACGAGCAGCGAGACCGCGAGGUCAAGCGAAUCUCUAAAAACCAUCCUCAGUUCGGAUUGCAGGCUGCAACUCGCCUGCAUGAAGCUGGAAUCGCUAGUAAUCGCGGAUCAGCACGCCGCGGUGAAUACGUUCCCGGGUCUUGUA
rnacentral:rRNA from 1 species